rnacentral:rRNA from 1 species
AUUGAACGCUGGCGGCAGGCUUAACACAUGCAAGUCGAACGAGUGGCGGACGGGUGAGUAAUGCUUGGGAAUCUAGCUUAUGGAGGGGGAUAACUACGGGAAACUGUAGCUAAUACCGCGUACCAUAGGAUGAGCACAAGUGGGAUUAGGUAGUUGGUGAGGUAAAGGCUCACCAAGCCGACGAUCUCUAGCUGGUCUGAGAGGAUGACCCGCAACACUGGGACUGAGACACGGCCCAGACUCCUACGUGAGGUAACAGUGGGGAAGAUUGCGCAAUGGGGGCAACCUGACGCAGCCAUGCCGCGUGAAUGAAGAAGGCCUUCGGGUUGUAAAGUUCUUUCGGUAGCGAGGCGUUACCUACUGAAGAAGCACAGGCUAACUCCGUGCCAGCAGCCGCGGUAAUUC